AGGACCUGUGUUUUAUCUCAGAGUUGAUGAGGAGCCCCAGAAGUUGAGCAAGGGAGUGCCACGGUCAGAAAUGUGUCCCAGAAAGCUCCCAGUGGAUUGGACAGGCCAAGGGAGCAGCUGGUAGUCGCAAGUCCCAUCUUACAGACGGGCAAACGGAGGGUCAGAGAGGCAGGAGGCCGUACUUAGUCUUGGCUGGUCCAACUCCAAAUCCCCUGUAGCGGGGAGCCACUGAAGGUUCUGGGGGCCGAGCCUUGCAGAGCGAGCUGAGAGAGGAGGCCUGGAGGGCUGAGAGGGAGGCUAGGAGACUGUGGAGGAGGCUGGCACAGAGCUGCGCACGUGGA